GACGAACGCUGGCGGCGUGCUUAACACAUGCAAGUCGAACGAAGUGGCGCACGGGUGAGUAACGCGUAAUCAACCUGCCCUUCAGAGGGGGACAACAGUUGGAAAUGACUGCUAAUACCGCAUACUGAAGGUGGGGAUUGCGUCUGAGUAGCUAGUUGGCGGGGUAACGGCCCACCAAUGCGAUGAUCAGUAGGCGGUCUGGGAGGGUGAACGGCCAAAAUGGGACUGAGACACGGCCCAGACUCCCACGGGAGGCAGCAGUGGGGAAAUAUCCGCAAUGGAGGAAAGGCUGACUGAGCAACGCCGCGUGGUAGAUGACGGCCUUCGGGUUGGAAAGCUCUGUUAAUCGGGACGCGGUACCGGAAUAGAAAGCCACGGCUAACUACGUGCCAGCAGCCGCGGUAAUUC
rnacentral:rRNA from 1 species